CUGGGGCAUGUGAAGGGCCUGAAAAGUGAUGCAGAGGUUGCUCUCUCUCUGUUGGACAGGUCCCCUUCAGAUCUGUGGAUGACAAAAAUGUGGAUCCAUGCUGGCACGUGAGCUCCUCAGGUGGACAUCAAAGAUAAAUUCCCCUAACUAGAGAGCACUUCAGCAUAGCAUGUGGGCUGAGGAUCAAAGUGGGCCUGCACUUUGUCAUCCUUAAGCCCCCCCACCUACCCCCACCCCCUCUACCCCUCAGCCUGAGCAUGGUACAGUGAGACCACACACAAACACACGGUGCACAGUGCAGAAUGUGUGCCAGCUCUAACCCCACAUGGGAGGGUCACGGCGCGGCUCACGCUAGCGUGAACAGGGGUCUGAGUAUCUGAUCCCCCCUCCAUGCUUGUGUGAUCUGACAAAGUGAACAAUGACCUUGGACAGUUCAAAAAUAAACCGCGGAGUGUAUCAGUGCUUUUAGAGCCCGCAGCCACCCCGGUGCUGUCGGAUGCCAAGAGAGAAAAAGAGCCGUUUUGUUAGUCAUCAGCUUCACACCAGGGCAGGGAAUCAAUCUACCUCCCUCUGUGUACAAGAAUAUGAGAAAGUUGAAUUAUGUCUCUCUCGCUGUCUGUUUGUGUGUGUGUAUGUGUGUGUGUGCACUUAUCACUCACACACACACACACACACACACACACACACACACACACACACACACACACACACAGUGCGCACCUAUUUUUUAAAGCAUAUGCAGUAUAAAGCUGUUGACAUGGUGGGUGUAUUUGCAAGAAUGUAUAUAUUUAGGCCUAUCGCCAGAGGGUGGAGAUAAUAUGCUGUUAUUACAGUAAUUUGGUGUAUCUGUAUUUUGCUAUUUGGCCUGAGAGUUUUUCACAUUGCAAUAUUUCCUUUGCAUACAUUUAUUGAUUACAUAUUUAGUUAUCACAUUGCAACACAAAUGAUUGGAGUAGGAACGUGUGCGGGGUAAUUAGAAUUUUGUCAUGUUUUGACAAGACCUACACUUAAAAAUGUACAACCAUUUAAAACCACCCAUAACUGCUUAAUCACAGUUUAGCUUUAAUUUACCAGCUCUAGGGUUCACUUCAAAGUGCAGUCACCCCCCUAACCCAAUAGAUACCAGCUACGUUAAUAUAUAUGAUUUUUGUCAUCAACAAUAAUUCAUUAUUCGCUAAGAAAUUAAUGAAAAUGUCAAAAACCACCCUAUCUUGCAAUGUUAAAGACAUUGAAAAGUAAAAUCCUGGGUCACCAUCAAAAAUGAAUGGGGUCUUUUCCCAAUCAAACUGACCAACAAAUCAACCAGCCAACCAGCCAACAAACAUGACACAGGUGAACACCUAACCUACUUAGCGGAGGUUAAAAAAAUAACAUUCAGUGAUAUCAGCAUAGGUAUAUAUACACUGAUCAGCCAUGACAUUACAUCUGCUUAUAGGUGAUGUGAAUGAGACUCCUCAUCUUGUUGAACUGCAAUGUUCUGCUGGGAAACCUAGGGUCCCGGCAUUCAUGUGGAAGCCACUUGACACGCACCGCCCAUUGUUGUGGACCAAGUACACCCAUUCACAAUGGGGUAGUGAUGGCAGUGCCCCGUCCAAUAGCAUGAUGCACCCUGACAUGCUACAAAAACUUCUCAAUAACACCUUGUGGAACACAACAAAGAGCCCAGAGGUGUUGACCAGGGCCUCAAAAAUUCCCCCGAUCCAAAUCCAAUCGAGCAUCUGUCGGACUUGCUAGAGCUGAAAAAGUCCAAUCAAUGGAGGCCCCACCCUCUAACAAACAGUAGGAUCCACAACAAACACCCCCAUGCUUUGAUGGGUUAGAACUGUUUUGGUUGCGCAAGGGGAACCUGCACAAUAUUAAGCAGGUGCUUUCAAUGCUGUGGCUGAUCAAUGUAUAAGCUAUCUCUAUAUCUAUGGAUUGCAAUAAAGUAGCAUUCUGAAUAAGGUGAAUCUUUUUUCUGCCUGCUGUCUUCACAUUAGCUGCUGAGGCCCGGAGGUACAGUAGUUGUUAGUGUCAGCCACCAUAAAGUAUGGUUAUUUUAGUAUUACACUACUGAAAAUUACUUAAUUCAUGUUUUGACUACAGCUGUUGUUAUUUGCUAUACAAUAAACAAAACAAUGCAAUUAUUUGUGUAGCAAUAUCUGGCUCACUUGCGAACAUUGUGUCAAACAUCACAUUAAUGACAGCUUGCACACACACUGAUGAUCUUCAAAUGUACAACAUGCAAAGGGAUCUCAACCUGGUUUUGUGUACUUAAAUGAAGCAGUGUCCCUCCAUUUUUGGGAACUACUCCAUUCUUCAUCUCAUAUGUUGUUGUUUUUUCCCUCUUUAAUUGGAUUUAAUCUUAAAAUGCCUUUUAUCCCAUUGCCUUUUACUUACAGUACAUUCUUUUUUCAAAUAAUGCAUGUAAGACAGACUCAUUUUAAAUGUUAUUUCACAUUCAUCUGUCCCUGGGUGGGACAGUUUAGUGUACUUUCCACCCCUGCACACUGCAUAAUAUAUAACAUGUCUACUUCCAGGGCCUGACACACUUAAAAAAAAGGGAAAAAAAGAGAGAGAGAAGACAUGUUGAGCUUUCGUCAACUCUCCCUUUCAUGUCCCCACACCUGGCUACAGCUUCUCUCCACCCUGCAUCACCACAUCAAAUAGAGGCUCCCAGGCAAACUCACAUCCACUUUAUCCCCAAGGGCGGCUGACUCAGCCAAAGUGCACAUCUGCCUUGUUGUUUUUACUACGAUUCCCAUCUACCCCUGCCCCCAUCACUCAUCUGUCAUCACCUGACAGUCAAGACACGAGGUGCCAUGACACUAGUUUUUACCGUAAAAGGGUGGAGAGAUACUUAUUCUCUUCUCCAUACCAGAGGGUUGACAUAUAUCGCUAACGGCAGCGGUGGGGAUAUUGAUGUGCUGGCGGGGUCAUGACCCAGGAGAGAAGAUGAGAUGAAAUAUUUCUACCUCAACGCCGCCCAGGGCUGCACAAGAAGUCUCCCAAUGUUACCAAGUGUUAACUGGACACAUUUAAACCAAGCUUGUCUUGACGCUCACAAUCAUUACUUGAUUGACCAUUCACCUAGUUGAUGUUGUUGUCACUUUUUUCUAGCUUUUCCAAAACAAAACUAAAGCUUAUUACCUACUGUAGUAACCAUGUUUUAAUUUGAAAGGCCAAGGAGCACAUCAAUUGAUGCAUUAAUUUGAGGGGUUACAGGUUACUUAAAUGCCCCAUUCAUGACCAGCACAUCUCCUAUGUACCAAUUGAGUGGCUAUUGAACUUAAGCUAACAUUAGCCAAAAUAUUGUCACAUUUGCCGGACAUUCUGUUGAGCCCUGAUCCUAAAAACCUUUCUCCUUGUAAUGUGAAAGGUCAAACUGAAACACAAACUAGUUAGCUGGGCAGUCACAGCUGGGUUUUUGCCCAAAUGAAAACACAGCUUUCACUUUACGCUGCACAAUUCAGGCUGCAAUGGCUGCA